UACGGAGGGUGCAAGCGUUAUCCGGAUUCACUGGGUUUAAAGGGUGCGUAGGUGGGAAUGUAAGUCAGUGGUGAAAUCUCCGUGCUUAACACGGAAACUGCCAUUGAUACUAUGUUUCUUGAAUUUUCUGGAGGUUAGCGGAAUAUGUCAUGUAGCGGUGAAAUGCUUAGAUAUGACAUAGAACACCAAUUGCGAAGGCAGCUAACUACAGGGAUAUUGACACUGAGGCACGAAAGCGUGGGGAUCAAACAGGG
rnacentral:rRNA from 1 species